GUAGCGGAGAAAUUCCAAACGAACUUGGAGAUAGCUGGUUCUCUCCGAAAUAGCUUUAGGGCUAGCGUCGAUGUUAAGUCUCUUGGAGGUAGAGCACUGUUUGGGUGAGGGGUCCAUCUCGGAUUACCAAUCUCAGAUAAACUCCGAAUGCCAACGAGAUAUCAUCGGCAGUCAGACUGCGAGUGCUAAGAUCCGUAGUCGAAAGGGAAACAGCCCAGACCACCAGCUAAGGUCCCAAAAUAACUGUUAAGUGGAAAAGGAUGUGGGGUUGCACAGACAACUAGGAUGUUAGCUUAGAAGCAGCUAUUCAUUCAAAGAGUGCGUAAUAGCUCACUAGUCGAGUGACCCUGCGCCGAAAAUGUACCGGGGCUAAAACAGUUUACCGAAGCUGUGGAUGACACAAAAGUGUCAUGGUAGGAGAGCGUUCUAUGUGUGAAGAAGGUGUACCGUGAGGAGCGCUGGAACGCAUAGAAGUGAGAAUGCCGGUAUGAGUAGCGCAAGACAGGUGAGAAUCCUGUCCACCGUAAGACUAAGGUUUCCAGGGGAAGGCUCGUCCGCCCUGGGUUAGUCGGGACCUAAGGAGAGACCGAAAGGUGUAUCCGAUGGCCAACAGGUUGAUAUUCCUGUACUAGAGUAUAUAGUGAUGGAGGGACGCAGUAGGCUAACUAAACCGGACGAUUGGAAGAGUCCGGCUAAGCAGUGAGGUGUAAGAUGAGUCAAAUGCUUAUCUUUAUAACAUUGAGCUGUGAUGGGGAGCGAAUUUUAGUAGCGAAGUUAGUGAUGUCACACUGCCAAGAAAAGCUUCUAGCGUUUAAUGAUACUCUACCCGUACCGCAAACCGACACAGGUAGUCGAGGCGAGUAGCC
rnacentral:rRNA from 1 species